UGGGGAAUCUUGCACAAUGCGCGAAAGCGUGAUGCAGCAACGCCGCGUGAGGGAAGACGGCCUUCGGGUUGUAAACCUCUUUCAGUUGGGACGAAGGUCGGGCGGUUAAUAGCCGUUCCGACUGACGGUACCUUCACAAGAAGCCCCGGCUAACUACGUGCCAGCAGCCGCGGUAAUACGUAGGGGGCAAGCGUUGUCCGGAAUCAUUGGGCGUAAAGAGCGUGUAGGCGGCUUGAUAAGUCGGCUGUGAAAGUCGGGGGCUCAACCCUCGAAUGCCGGUCGAUACUGUCAAGCUAGAGUCCGGAAGAGGCGAGUGGAAUUCCUGGUGUAGCGGUGAAAUGCGCAGAUAUCAGGAGGAACACCAAUGGCGAAGGCAGCUCGCUGGGACGGUACUGACGCUGAGACGCGAAAGCGUGGGGAGCAAACAGG
rnacentral:rRNA from 1 species